rnacentral:rRNA from 2 species
AACGACUCUCGACAACGGAUAUCUCGGCUCUCGCAUCGAUGAAGAACGUAGCGAAAUGCGAUACUUGGUGUGAAUUGCAGAAUCCCGUGAACCAUCGAGUCUUUGAACGCAAGUUGCGCCCGAAGCCACUAGGCUGUAGGGCACGUCUGCCUGGGUGUCACGC